UGCGGCGGCAACAGCGUGGGGGAAACGCCCGGACCCAUCCCGAACCCGGAAGCUAAGCCCCACAGC
rnacentral:rRNA from 1 species